GCAAAGGCAGGGCCGGCAGUCACCACACAGACAGCAGAGCGAUAAAUCUAUGGACACAUCGCUUUGCUUCCACCAUUUAUUCAGGAAUGCACAACUGGCAGAUGCUGUUAAUAAACCAGUACAACUCCGUGGUCCAUAAUGAAUAAAAGAGGAAGCCUUUAUUGUGAU